UACGGAGGGGGCUAGCGUUGUUCGGAAUUACUGGGCGUAAAGCGCACGUAGGCGGCUUUGUAAGUUAGAGGUGAAAGCCCGGAGCUCAACUCCGGAACUGCCUUUAAGACUGCAUCGCUUGAACGUCGGAGAGGUAAGUGGAAUUCCGAGUGUAGAGGUGAAAUUCGUAGAUAUUCGGAGGAACACCCGUGGCGAAGGCGGACCUC
rnacentral:rRNA from 1 species